UCCGAUGUGGUCUAAUGGUUAGGAUUUCUGGCUUUCAAAUAUUUAAAAAAGAAGCUGGUUAAUUCUUGAUAAUCGACUUCAGGGUUAACUGUUAAAGUUCCCAGGCGGUCCGGGUUCGAUUCCCGGCAUCGGAG
rnacentral:tRNA from 1 species